GAGUGUCGUCAGCCCACGGCCCGCCUCCCUCCGUGGGUUCUCUUCUUGUUAGGGUCUCUUGUUUCCCUUUUCCGUAUAUAAGGAGCUGCCUGUGUGGCGCCCAUAGGGUUUGCGGCGUAGAUCUCAUCCUUUGCCGGCGGGUGCAAUAAUGGGGAGGCUGCAUAUCGUAGGUGGAAAGAACAAUGUUAUCAACCCUCAUGUGAGAUCGAGUACACCGUUCAAAAGCUGAUGAGGGCCAACAAAUCUCUCUCCAUGCACAUUAGUAGCACUAUAGGUUGCGAUCAUGCCUCAACUGCAGGUGGCAAGACAGUUGAGGUGGCUAACCCACCAGCUACGAAGAAUUACUAAUGUCAGGACCUGCGAGAUGUUAUCGCCAGAUUAAGAAUAAACCAUAUCCAAAAUCAUGGUACUGCCGUGGUGUUCCAGAUCCUAAAAUUAGGAUCUAUGAUGUUGGAAUGAAGAAGAAAGGAGUUGAUGAGUUUCCCUUCUGUGUUCACCUGGUGAGCUGGGAAAAGGAGAAUGUUUCCAGUGAAGCUCUUGAGGCUGCUCGUAUUGCAUGCAACAAGUAUAUGACAAAGUAUGCUGGAAAGGAUGCUUUCCACUUACGAGUGAGAGUUCACCCAUUCCAUGUUCUACGUAUCAACAAAAUGCUUUCUUGUGCUGGGGCAGAUAGGCUCCAGACUGGGAUGAGGGGUGCAUUUGGGAAACCUCAGGGGACGUGCUCGGGUAAGCAUUGGUCAGGUCCUUCUGUCUGUUCGCUGCAAGGAUAGCAAUAGCAAUCAUGCACAAGAAGCCCUUUGUCAUGCUAAGUUCAAGUUUCCUGGCCGUCAGAAGAUCAUCAUCAGCGGAAAGUGGGGCUUUACUAAGUUUAGCCGUGCUGAAUAUGCGAAAUGGAAGAGUGAGAACAGAAUCAUUCCAGAUGGUGUCAAUGCCAAGGCGAGUAUGACGGGUGGUCGCAACAGGGAUUCAUCAUAUCAGAGAUAUGACAUUCAGCAGGUUGCACGGUGGAUCGAGCAAAUACUACCGUUCUCGUUGCUUCUUUUGGUGGUCUUCAUCAGACAGCAUUUGCAAGGCUUUUUCGUCACGAUUUGGAUUUCAGCAGUGAUGUUUAAAUCCAAUGAUAUCUUGAAAAAACAAACUGCUUUAAAGGGAGAGCGAAAAUUGACUGUGCUUGUUGGAACUGCAUUUUUCUCCAUGUUACAUAUAUUUGGCAUCUACUGGUGGUACCGAAAUGAUGAUAUCUUAUACCCACUUAUCAUGUUUUCUCCCAAAGCAAUACCACAAUUUUGGCAUGCCAUAUUUAUUAUCUUGGUCAAUGAUAUAAUGGUGCGGCAAGCAGCUAUGGUUGUGAAGUGUAUUCUCUUGGUGUAUUACAAAGAUCGUAAAGGUCGUAACUAUCGUCAGCAGUGUCAAAUGCUUACUCUUGUGGAGUACCUUCUACUUUUGUACCGUUCUUUUUUGCCAACUCCUGUUUGGUACCGAUUUUUCCUGAACAAGGAAUAUGGGAGCUUCUUUUCAUCUCUGACUACGGGGCUAUACCUUACUUUGAAGUUGACAUCAGCAGUAGAGAAGGUUCAAUCAUUUAUUUCUGCGUUUAAGGCGCUAUCAUGCAAGGAUGUAAGUUACGGGUCUUAUGCAACAGCUGAACAGGUAAUUACAGCUGGUGAUAUGUGUGCCAUUUGCCAAGAGAAGAUGCAUGCUCCUAUUCUACUUCGUUGUAAACACAUCUUUUGUGAAGACUGUGUCUCUGAAUGGUUUGAAAGAGAACGGACAUGCCCAUUGUGCAGAGCUGUGGUUAAGCCAGCAGGGCUGAGGUCAUUCGGCGAUGGUUCCACGAGCUUAUUCUACCAGUUGUUUUGAUUAUUGCAUCUGUAACAUAAAUUGAUUUCCUCGGAUGCCAGAUUGGUCAGAAGGAUGCAGGCUGACCUUGCUGUGGUGCUGUUGCUGUUCUCUCAUGAUUUGAUCUCCAUGUCACCUCCCGGGAGGCUUUUGAUCAAAGUUCGAUGAGACACCUCCCCAUCUAUCCAUAUUCUUAUAUUCAAUUUAUAUACCACAUUUCCGGAAAUAUAAACAGAAUAGACAGAAGAGAAAGCAUAUAUAUAUAUAUAUAUAUAUAUGUUACCAAAGGGAAACCGAGCUGUUACUGUGACUGGAUUAGUUGUAUCUCGUUAAAAGAUCACGUAAAUUGUAUUUAUCUAGCA